UACGAAGGGGGCUAGCGUUGCUCGGAAUCACUGGGCGUAAAGCGCACGUAGGCGGAUUGUUAAGUCGGGGGUGAAAUCCUGGAGCUCAACUCCAGAACUGCCUUCGAUACUGACGAUCUCGAGUCCGGGAGAGGUGAGUGGAACUUCGAGUGUAGAGGUGAAAUUCGUAGAUAUUCGGAAGAACACCAGUGGCGAAGGCGGCUCACUGGCCCGGUACUGACGCUGAGGUGCGAAAGCGUGGGGAGCAAACAGG
rnacentral:rRNA from 1 species